rnacentral:rRNA from 1 species
AUUGAACGCUGGCGGCAGGCCUAACACAUGCAAGUCGAGCGAGCGGCGGACGGGUGAGUAAUGUAUGGGGACUGCCUGAUAGAGGGGGAUAACUACUGGAAACGGUGGCUAAUACCGCAUACUAUCGGAUAACCCAUAUGGAAGUAGCUAGUAGGUGGGGUAAAGGCUCAACUAGGCGACGCUCUCUAGCUGAUCUGAGAGGAGGAUCAGGCACAGUGGGACUGAGACACGGCCCAGACUCCAACGGAGGCGGCAGUGGGGUAUAUUGCACAAUGGACGCAAGACUGAUGUAGCCAUGCCGCGUGUAUGAAGAAGUCCUUAGGGUUGUAGAGUACUUUCAGCGGUGAGGCGUUGCCCGCAGAGGAGGCAACGGCUAACUCCGUACCAGCAGCCGCGGUAAUUC